UACGGAGGGUGCAAGCGUUAUCCGGAAUCACUGGGUUUAAAGGGUGCGUAGGCGGUUAAAUAAGUCAGUCGUGAAAUCGCUGGGCUUAACCCAUGCAACUGCGAUUGAUACUGUUUAACUUGAAUGAGGUUGAGGUAGGCGGAAUGUGGCAUGUAGCGGUGAAAUGCAUAGAUAUGCCAUAGAACACCGAUUGCGAAGGCAGCUUGCUGGGCCUUCAUUGACGCUGAGGCACGAAAGCGUGGGGAGGCAAACA
rnacentral:rRNA from 1 species